rnacentral:rRNA from 1 species
CCGAGGAAAAGAAAUCAACCGAGAUUCCCCCAGUAGCGGCGAGCGAACGGGGAGGAGCCCAGAGCCUGAAUCAGUGUGUGUGUUAGUGGAAGCGUCUGGAAAGGCGCGCGAUACAGGGUGACAGCCCCGUACACAAAAAUGCACAUGCUGUGAGCUCGAUGAGUAGGGCGGGACACGUGGUAUCCUGUCUGAAUAUGGGGGGACCAUCCUCCAAGGCUAAAUACUCCUGACUGACCGAUAGUGAACCAGUACCGUGAGGGAAAGGCGAAAAGAACCCCGGCGAGGGGAGUGAA